UCUUCAAUAAAUUAACCCAAAAAUUGAAACAUGCUAGGUAAAAAUAGCUAAUAGAACAAUAUCAAACCAAAUCAUGUAAACAGUAAACAACCAAGCAGUUUUCUCUCACACUUAUACAUGCAACAUGAAGAAAAGAAAAAGGGGGGAAAUCACAUAUGGAGAAAAGAAACACUAUUUAGUUGCACAAAUAUGUAUCUAUCCACGGUUUCUGAACUUUUACACAAUUUUUGCUAUGGAACUCUGCAAAUGAAAUCAUUUACCAUUGAAUCCUUUCUGAUUUCGUGCUAUUGAGCCUAAUCUUGCUAAUUUGGCAAAAUUAAUCAGAACUGACAUCCAACACAAUGGUGAUAUCACUGACCAUGCCAUCAAAGAGCUAAUGUGGCAUAUGGCAUUUUUUUUAAUCUUUUCAUUUCUUUUUGUUUUGUCAAAAAGACCAAAAUAUUUUUUUUUUUUUUAAAUUAAAAGAUGAUAUCUAAUAUUCUGAUAUUGUGAUUUUAAUUAUCAAGUAUAUAAGCACUGGUUCUCUAAAGAAUACAUAAAUAAUGAUAAAGUAUUAAAAUAACAUAGAAGGGUAAAAAAAUAAAAGUAGUAGUCAGUCAAACCACAGCCUUAUAUAAAGGAGAAACAGGAAAAUAAUAGAACAGUAAUGGUAUUGAAGAACAAAAUCUUCUUCUAUUCACGGAAAUUGACUAUUUUUUUUUUUUUCAAAAGUUGAUAUCUUAUCAUUCUAGGAAAUAAAUAAACACAAACGCACACAACCACACAUAUACAUACCACAUCAGCUCUUAAAUGAUAUAGUGAUGAUGUCAUCCCCGAUUUGAAUAUUGAUUUUGAGCAACUUUGGCAAAAUUGGACACAAUGCACCAAAUAAAAAGGUUUGAAAAUUCAAUAGCAAACAAUUUCACUUGGAGGGCCCAGUACUUUAAACACACAAGUUCAAGUGAGAAAAAAUGGAUUUUGCAAUUUGCCACUACUCAGACAUGCAAAAGCACCUAUAAGCAAAUGUGCAUGUAUGCCAAUGCCACAUAUACAUAAAUAUGAAUCAACAUGAUAAAAUUAACAAUCAACCAAAUGGCCUAGGAAGUGCAUGAAUAAUAACAUGCAUUUUCCAUUUAUGAACUCUAAUAAAGUUUUCAUUUGAAGAAGCAUUUGGUAUUUCUCUAUGAUCUGACUCCAAGUUCCAACUGUAUUAACUGUCAUAUGAAAGCAUACAUCUGGGUUAGGACAUAUUAUAAAUCAUGCCACAAAGGUAAAAUUCCAAUGAUAGCAUUUUAAGAAGGCAGUGAACGAAAUAGAGCCAACCAUCCAAUCAUAACAGAUGAAACAUAAAUCUUCAGUGAUAUAACUUCUUGGCAGGGAAUUGAAAACAGAAAAAUAACCAAAAACAAAAGGUAAACAGUAAACAAUUUAUUAGUUUUCUCCCAUAAAUGUACAAGCAGCAAGAAAUAUUGCCAUAAAAGAAAUAAUACAGAAUAUUAACAACAUUAACACCCAAAAAAAAAUAAAAGGCUAGAAAGUUAAAAAACAGCUAGCCCAACUAAAGAGCUCUGGGAAUAAUAGAAAAACGUACACUGAUACCUUAAUACAUGACAUGAAAAUUACACAAGAA
rnacentral:misc_RNA from 1 species